GUAAGGCUUUGCCAUCCUGACCGGAGUGGAGCCCCAUUCAAGGAGGACUUUUUUCUGAAGUGACAUAGCAUCGGAUCCGACUGGCUCUGAGCUCCUGCGAGGGGACGGUCGCGCUCUUAGGGUGGGCCUGAGAGCGCAACUCUCGAACUGAGGCUGCGAAACCAAACUGAUGAUGUCAGUACAGCCUCUCGCUUCUCUCUUGCUAAGUCUGCUACCACCGACAGUCGGCCGGUUCCAAAAUAAAUCUGCUCGGGAAAAUAGGAGAGCCGCCCCUUCUAAUCCCUUGGGGUUAUACUAGCAGCUCCUCCUCGGGGUUCCCCGGCGAGGCGAGGCGUUCCCCAGGCUGGUCAGGCUCGAGAAGCAGCUCAAGAGAACUCGACUCAAAGUCUCGGGCAAGCAGAGGAGGAACCGGUGAGCUCCUGGGAGGCCCCGUCGGACGAGCGGCCGUCAGCUUCCUUCUUGCCUAGAAAAGCAACAGCAGCCUGGCGCCGACCGACCUCCAGGCAGCAGAUCCACUCCGAGGGACGCCCGGACAGCGGCGGCUCCUCUCUGGAGGGCAACCAGGGCAACAAGAUGCCCUUCUGGAAGCGCACGGUGGAACCUCGCCGGCUGCUCCCCUCCGCUGCCGUCGCCCCUCGUUUGGCUGCUCUGCCGCUGGCCCAGCUCCACGACGUGUGCGGCCUGGCGACGCUGGCGCUGCUCCGGCAGCUGGCCGAUCUCUGCGGACACUCAGCGGCGUUGCUCGCGGACCUAGAGGGUCGCUUGCUGGAGCUGGCCCGCCGCGCACACCGGCUUCGAAGCCGCCUCUGCAGAGUCCACGGGCUCAUGCGCCCCGGGGCGUCUCGAGAGGCAGAAGAUACCUCCAAUCAGCCGACAGCUGAAACAAUAAAACUUGGGACACAUGAAACAACCUAUUCUGUUUAAAAUAAAACAACAUCAAACAAAACAUCCAUAAGCCAACUUUAUAAAAACACCAAUCUUCCUUUUUGAAGAAGAUGUAUUUGUUUGCAUGAGAAAAAUGAACCAAAAUGAGACUGCUGGAUCUGUUUGAGAAGGGCAUUCCAGAUGUGAAGAACUUUUGCUGUGGGCAAAGCCAGGCACG
rnacentral:lncRNA from 1 species